CCACCACGUCCCCGUUUCCCUUUGAUUGACGGGGUGACAGAACUGAAAAGAGCCAAUAUAGGUCGUUUCAACCUCUAUAGAAGAGGAGUGCAAUCAACCUCCAGUUUUAAGCUCGAACUCUCCUUCGAUUCAGUGGGUAAUGGAGGAAUCUACCAUGUAUUAGACCCCAACGGCUCUUCUCCUCUCAAAUCGAACUGAAAAGGUGAGAUUUUUCACCCCUUUUUCUUGAUAUUAUCCAUCAAAAUCUUUUUUCCAGAACUUCCCAUCAAAAAAGGUCACCUUUUCCCCCUCUUUUUGAAUUCCGAAUUUUUCAGCCUCUUGAAGAAGCUGAUGAAAUCCCCUCAGUCUCAGCCUAUAAAUACAGCCCCCUUGGCUGUGUUUAGAACAAGUUUCAAGUGUAGAAAAUCCCCUUUAAGUUAACAAGUGCAAGUGUUGAAAAUCACCGCUUGAACAAACAUUUUCACAACUGAAAACUAAGUUGGAAUUUUCAGAAAAUACUAUCCCUAACUCUAAGUUUUUUUUUUUUUGUUGUCAAAAUCCCCUCCUUCAGUUCUCGGCUGAGCAAGGACCACUCCGAGCGGAUUCGGAGAUUCGACAACUACAGUAGCCUCAGUUCGCUGUCAUGAAGAAGGUAAUCACACUCGUCGUCUCUUCGUCUUUAAUUCCUUAGAAGUAAAAUGUAGUCGUCAGGUCGUUUUGUCGUUUGUAUAGUCUCAAUCUAUUUAAAUCUAUUUGUUGCUCUGUGUGCUCUGAAUAUGUGACGAAAUUGUUAAUACAAGCUAUUAUACUUAGAAAGAAUGAUAAUUUAGCUUGAAGAACGCGUGAACAGUGAUGUCGUCCUGCUUUAAAUUAGUUUCCUUUGAUCUUGAGGGGCUCUUGCGAUUUACUUUUUUUGACGCGCUCAUACAAUGUAGCUAAGGUUUUUCUGGUGACUUGAAUAAGAAUAAGAAUGCUUUUCUUUUUUUUUUUUUUUUUUUUUUUGGUUCUUGUUCAUGUGAUGUAUUGGUCUAAAUUGUAUAUAGGAAUAUGUAACUAAUUGAAGUGACGUUGUUGAGCUUAGCGUUUGUUUGGGGUGAUUAAUGAAUUCAUAUUUUUUCUUCAUAUUAUUGGUUCUGAGAAAUCGUAAGGAAAAAUAGCUUGGUUCGCUCGAAUUAUCAGAUGUGCAAUUAACUUGUCGCUCGUGUAAAUUCUAUUUUUUGGGAGCUGUUUUGCCAUGAACCUUUCUUGAAAUCGAUGUGUAAAUAUACUAUGGUAUCUUAUAACUUGAGAGGAAAAAGUUACUAUUCUGAUGUUUUGAUCUUUAAAAAAAAAAAAAAAAAAGAGUAAGGAAGAAUCAGGGAGCAGUAGGUCGUAGUCCUAAAAUCCCCUGUGUGUUAAGUGCAUGUGGCCUGUUUUCUAUCUCAAUGACAAGUUUGGUUAAACUUAUUAUGAGUUUGUGAGUUCUGUUGUUAUGGCCAUAGGAUUUUCAGAUUUUUACAUGAACUUAACCAUCCAUGAACAUAUGAAACUGUCCGCUCAUAACUGUUUUUUUAUUUUAUGGAUGCCAUGAAAGAAUAGUAUGAAACAGUGUUAACACGUCGUUAAUCUUUAGCUAAAUGUCUCUCUUCUCUGUUCUUUUAUUUGGUCAUUGUAACUUAGAAGCCAUAAGAAUACACCUCCUAAUUUGUUGCAGCAAACUUGUUAGCUCAUUUUGGCUUUGUUUGAGUGUAGCUUCCGAAUAAUAUUGGUACAAACCUAAGUUGUGUUCAUAUUCUGCUUGGGUAUUAGUUGUUGAUAGGGAAAAGUUCAGUUCAUUUCAAGUUUACUAGCAGGAUAUGAAACAUUGCUACAUGAAGCUAUUGUGCGUACUUCUUUAAGAUCACUUAUGGGGCAUAAGCUUCAUAAAAGUAGUUAUCUAAAUAUUUUCGUCAUAUGAAAAUGAGUGGGUGUAUUCUCUUUCUGAUUUUGUUCCUGAGAGAAUGUUGGUAUAGCAUGUAUGAAAGGAGAUGUAGAAUCUCUAGAUUCUGAUUUAAUGGUUUAUGCAUAUACAUUAAAAAAAAAAAAGUGUACUUCCAUCUAUUCAAGUGUUUAGACUUUGGCAUGAUUUGAAAUAUGAUUUAUUUGGAAGAGAAAAAAUGCUUUUGUUAGCCUAAAUGUUAGCAUGAUUUAUCUUCCUACUGAUUCUUGUCCUACUGAUUCUUGUCUUAAGAGGUAUAUUUAUCUUUUGUGUUAUUCAAAUGGUAUUUAGAACCAUGAGUUUAGGAUUUUUGAUUUUAUCUUUUUAUUUGGUUGUUUCUCAUAUGUAUGUGAAUUCCAAAUACUUUGGGUUAAGCAUUGUUACUCUACCAUGUCAUCAACUCGUUCAGGUUUAAAAAAAAAAAAAAAAAAAAAAAAAAAGAGAGAGGGUGAAACUAUAUGAAAAUCUUUUACUGCUUUGUUUUUUAGGCAGUAAGUGAGAUCAAUUUGGAAUCUUAUAUGCUUCGCCAUUUAGUCUUUCGUUCCAUUAAGAUUGCUUCUAAUCCUUAUCUUUUUUAUUUCUUUCUUUUCCAUGGAACACUUGGGAGCAUUUGGAGUUAUGGCAACUCCGGAUUUUGCCCAGAUUAGAGGAGUAAACCGUAGCUGCGGUUUUGUUCGAGCUAGCAGUCCCAUCUCAUUCGUGUCUCGAGUCCAUAUCCCUUCUCCUUUCUUCAAAAUUAUUGUGUCUUUAUAUUAUCAUACGCACAUGUUUGUUUACAACUCUUGACUAACGUUUUUGUGGUUUGUAUUUAUAAGCUUGUGUUUGUAGCC